UGGGGAAUUUUGGACAAUGGGCGAAAGCCUGAUCCAGCAAUGCCGCGUGUGUGAAGAAGGCCUUCGGGUUGUAAAGCACUUUUGUCCGGAAAGAAAUCCUUGGCUCUAGUACAGUCGGGGGAUGACGGUACCGGAAGAAUAAGCACCGGCUAACUACGUGCCAGCAGCCGCGGUAAUGCGUAGGGUGCAAGCGUUAAUCGGAAUUACUGGGCGUAAAGCGUGCGCAGGCGGUUUGCUAAGACCGAUGUGAAAUCCCCGGGCUCAACCUGGGAACUGCAUUGGUGACUGGCAGGCUAGAGUAUGGCAGAGGGGGGUAGAAUUCCACGUGUAGCAGUGAAAUGCGUAGAGAUGUGGAGGAAUACCGAUGGCGAAGGCAGCCCCCUGGGCCAAUACUGACGCUCAUGCACGAAAGCGUGGGGAGCAAACGGGAUUAGAUACCCUGGUAGUCCACGCCCUAAAGCGAUGUCAACUAGUUGUUGGGGGAUUCAUUUCCUUAGUAACCGUAGCUAACGCGUGAAGUUGACCGCCUGGGGGAGUAC
rnacentral:rRNA from 1 species